CGGUUUCGGUAUUUCGUGUAGUUGGUUCUUUAUUCUAUGGUAGUAUUUCGGGUAGCUGAGCCGUGAUCCCUCAAGGUCUGCAUAAGAUAGAGCCAACCUUUCCUUUCUCAUAACGAACACAAAACGCGACGCUCUGCUGUUGAAUGCAUUGGCGCCGCGGUAUGUCUGCUCGUCUCAACUGCGCUGAGGCGGGAAUGUUGGAGAAUUGAAUUUCGUGCAUAGGGUGCUUUGUAGCGUGCCUUCCGUCGCCAAGAAAGCAAAGCGCUGUGCCGAUGCGUGCACUGCGCACGAGAAGUCGCGGACGCCGUUUCGCAGCGCUGCCGCUUUUAUGAAGGAAACAAAUGCAGGACGCAUUUGACUCAAGAUCCAGCAGCUAUGAUCACUGCUGGUGCCACUUUGACGUCCGUGCAGGCAAAUAUAGUCAAGAACGGGACGCGAGUUCAGGCAAGGUCCAUCUCUUUGAGGUUCUAAAAGAGUGAGAAAUUGAAAGAAAAAAUUUUUAAUUGUGCCGUUUAACGUCCUGAAACUGCACAGUGGGUUAUUAAAGACUCACUGUGUGGAGGGCUCCGAAAUAAUUUUGACCACCCAGUGUUCAUUAACAUGUGCCUAAGACUAAGCACACAAGCAUUUUUGCAUUUUGCCCCUAAUUAAAAUGGGGCCGCCCCGGCUUGCUGGUACGAACUCGCGUUGUGUUCGUUAGCUAGAUCAAGACAUCAUGAUUCAGCUCUGUGUUGGCAUUUAUUGUAGUGAGAGGGCUUGUACAUUCCAGGUUUAUGAAUCUUUGGCUCUGGGUCCAUUUGGUAGUGUUCACAGCAGUCAUUCCAGCACUGUAAAUCUGGCACGCUAAUUGGGAAAAAGAGCCAGAACAGAAGACAUUGUCAAAACAUAGAAAAGUAGUUGAUAGGACAAGUCCUAGACUAGCAAAUACAGUUAAUUCAUAGAGGAACAAACGACACCGGAGGGCAUACAUAUGCCGAGAGCCAACGAAUCUUAUGCAAUGAAAAAUGUGAUAGGUGAAAUCGCAUGAAAUACGGUCAAAACAUGGGAUCUUUUUGCUUAGAAAAUGUGUUCCUUGUCUUUAAUUAAGGUACUAUACCAAUGCACAACUUUUUUCCUGCAUACUAUACUCAGAUUAUAGCCAUGACGGCAACUAAAGCAUAAAAAUUGUGCUCUAAUUUACUGCUACAAAUCUUUGCUUAUUUGGUAAACGUAAAAUGCUUCAUAAAUCUUUUCAAUUCAGUUUUUUUUUUUUUAGUUAGCAGAAUGCGCAUUAAGUGAGGCGUACACCUACACUCAAUGCAUUUUGAUAACAGGUUCUCACCUGCAUCUGCUGGAAGCUGCUUUUGAUGCUCAUGCCUUUUCUUAUUCAUACGGCAACAUAUUCGACCAAUAUUGGCUCAAUUGCAUGAUGGUGUAAUGUGACAAACAGGAAAUCAAUCUAUGAACACAGUGAUAUGUUCCUGCCAUGUUUUGCUGCCACUGUUUAUAUUGGGAGCUAUAUGAUUGCACUAAAUAGCAAGUUUACAUGGUGCUGAGGACCAACCCCAUGCUGGUGCUGGAAAGGCAAGAGCCCUUGGUUGAAGUGGAGCAGGCUCCAUCGUUGUAGUGGAUGGCGACCUUCAAGCAGAAAGAUGAACAGUUCAGACCAUCACCUUCUCUUCAUUGCAUACUACCUUGUGCCUCAUUCUUUUGCGACAUCCUUGUCUUCUAUCUUACCAGGCUCAAGUACUAACCGUCAGUCAUUUUGCUGAAGUUGGUCAUUUUGAUG